GUGCCAGCCGCCGCGGUAAUACGGAGGGUGCAAGCGUUAAUCGGAAUUACUGGGCGUAAAGCGUGUGUAGGUGGUUCGUUAAGUCGGAUGUGAAAGCCCCGGGCUCAACCUGGGAACUGCAUUCGAUACUGACGGACUAGAGUUUAGCAGAGGAAAGCGGAAUUCCGGGUGUAGCGGUGAAAUGCGUAGAUAUCCGGAGGAACACCAGUGGCGAAGGCGGCUUUCCGGGUUAAAACUGACACUGAGGCACGAAAGCGUGGGUAGCAAACAGGAUUAGAUACCCUGGUAGUCCACGCCCUAAACGAUGUCGACUGGCUGUCGGGUUCAUUUGGAACUUGGUAGCGAAGCUAACGCGUUAAGUCGACCGCCUGGGGAGUACGGCCGCAAGGUUGAAACUCAAAGGAAUUGGCGGGG
rnacentral:rRNA from 1 species